UGAGGCAGGAGAAUUGCUUGAACCCAGGAAGUGGAGGUUGCAGUGAGCCAAGAUCAUGCCACUGCACUCCAGCCUGGGUGACAGAGUGAGACUCCAUCUC
ensembl:miRNA